GAAAUGCGAUAAGUAAAGUGAAUUGCAGAAUUCAGUGAAUCAUCGAAUCUUUGAACGCACCUUGCGCUCUUUGGUAUUCCUUGGAGCAUGCCUGUUUGAGUAUCAUGAAAUCUUCAAAGUAAAUCUUUUGUUAACUCAAUUGGUUUCUACUUUGGUAUUGGAGGUCUUUGCAGCUUCACACCUGCUCCUCUUUGUUCAUUAGCUGGAUCUCAGUGUUAUGCUUGGUUCCACUCGGCGUGAUAAGUUAUCUAUCGCUGAGGACACUGUAAAAGGUGGCCAAGGUAAAUGCAGAUGAACCGCUUCUAAUAGUCCAUUGACUUGGACAAUACUUUUAUGAUCUGAUCUCAAAUCAGGUAGGACUACCCGCUGAACUUAAGC
rnacentral:misc_RNA from 1 species